rnacentral:rRNA from 1 species
AUUGAACGCUGGCGGCAGGCCUAACACAUGCAAGUCGAACGGUAGCACAGAGAGCUUGCUCUCGGGUGACGAGUGGCGGACGGGUGAGUAAUGUCUGGGAAACUGCCUGAUGGAGGGGGAUAACUACUGGAAACGGUAGCUAAUACCGCAUAACGUCGCAAGACCAAAGAGGGGGACCUUCGGGCCUCUUGCCAUCAGAUGUGCCCAGAUGGGAUUAGCUAGUAGGUGGGGUAACGGCUCACCUAGGCGACGAUCCCUAGCUGGUCUGAGAGGAUGAACAGCCACACUGGAACUGAGACACGGUCCAGACGCCGACGGGAGGCAGCAGUGGGGAAUAUUGCAAAAUGGGCGCAAGCCUGAUGCAGCCAUGCCGCGUGUAUGAAGAAGGCCUUCGGGUUGUAAAGUACUUUCAGCGGGGAGGAAGGUGUUGAGGUUAAUAACCUCAGCAAUUGACGUUACCCGCAGAAGAAGCACCGGCUAACUCCGUGCCAGCAGCCGCCGUAACAC